GAUGAACGCUGGCGGCGUGCCUAACACAUGCAAGUCGAGCGAGAUGUAUAUGGACGAAACUUCGGUCUAGGAAAUAUAUUGACAGCGGCGGACGGGUGAGUAACGCGUAGGCAACCUGCCCUUAACACAGGGAUAGCCUCGGGAAACCGGGAUUAAAACCUGAUAAUGCCAAAUAGUCACAUGGCUGUUUGGCCAAAGAUUUAUCGGUUAAGGAUGGGCCUGCGUCUGAUUAGUUUGUUGGUGGGGUAACGGCCUACCAAGACUACGAUCAGUAGCCGACCGGAGAGGGUGAUCGGCCACAUUGGAAAUGAGACACGGUCCAAACUCCUACGGGAGGCAGCAGUGGGGAAUAUUGCACAAUGGGCGAAAGCCUGAUGCAGCAACGCCGCGUGAGCGAUGAAGGCCUUUGGGUCGUAAAGCUCUGUCCUUGGGGAAGAAAAAAAUGACGGUACCCAAGGAGGAAGCCCCGGCUAACUACGUGCCAGCAGCCGCCGUAAUAC
rnacentral:rRNA from 1 species